AGGCGCGAAAACUUUACAAUGCGGGAAACCGCGAUAAGGGAACCCCGAGUGCCAGCACCUAGUGUUGGCUGUCCAGAUGAUUAAAUUUCAUUUGUUAGCAAGGGCCGGGCAAGACCGGUGCCAGCCGCCGCGGUAACACCGGCGGCCCGAGUGGUAACCGUUUUUAUUGGGUCUAAAGGGUCCGUAGCCGGUCUGAUCAGUCUUUUGGGAAAUCUGGCAGCUUAACUGUCAGGCUUCUAAGAGAUACUGUCAGGCUUGGGACCGGGAGAGGUAAGGGGUACUCCAAGGGUAGGAGUGAAAUCUUGUAAUCCUUGGGGGACCAACUGUGGCGAAGGCGCCUUACCAGAACGGGUCCGACGGUGAGGGACGAAAGCUAGGGGAGCAAACCGGAUUAGAUACCCGGGUAGUCCUAGCUGUAAACGAUGCUCGCUAGGUGUCAGGCACGGUGCGUCCGUGUUUGGUGCCGCAGGGAAGCCGUGAAGCGAGCCACCUGGGAAGUACGGUCGCAAGGCUGAAACUUAAAGGAAUUGGCGGGGGAGCACUACAACGGGUGGAGCCUGCGGUUUAAUUGGAUUCAACGCCGGAAAACUCACCGGGUGCGACAGCAAUAUGUAGGUCAGGCUGAAGGUCUUACCUGAAUCGCUGAGAGGAGGUGCAUGGCCGUCGUCAGUUCGUACUGUGAAGCAU
rnacentral:rRNA from 1 species